UUUUGAUUGUUUCAGGAGAGCUUGGGUACGAAAUCCAAAUACGAGAAUCAGUCGUGAGCCCAAAUUGUCUAACCAUUCUUCGCUUUACUCUCUUUCUAGCAGUCGUGAGCUUGGGCAAAUCUGAGCAACGCUCUCUUGGAAGGUGCACUUUCCACAGGCAACACAUCUUUCAAAGGAUCAAACAUUACGAGUGCAGGAUUCUCUUCCAACGAUCUAUCCAUUGCUAGGAGCAAGCAGCUGAAAGAAGAACAAUGAAAACAUUGAACAG